UGUUAUGGGGGGCUCUGAAGAAAAUCUCACACAGUUCGAUAUUGAAGUUUCACAGUUUAAAAUUUGGGCUAGAUCUGAUUUGGAGCGAAAGGUGAAAGAGCUGCAAGAGGAAAAGAGCAUGCCAGAACCAUCACAGACUGAAAAGGCUGAACUCCAACAAACAGCAGCGACACAAGUUCUGGGUAAUAUUGAAGUGGAAAUUGGUUCUCUUAGAGAUAGACAGGGUGCAUCGCUUGAAGAAAUGUUGCCGAAUAUGCAGUUUAUGCCUUUGGUUUGUGAGCUGCCGAGUCUCAAAGAACUGCAUACCGUGCCGAUGGAGA